UGUCUUCGGGGCGGGGUGAAAGUCCCCACCGGCGGUAACCUUUAUAAACGAGGGAAGCCCGCGAGCUUAAUUGCUGAUCUGGUGUGAUUCCAGAGCCGACGGUAUAGUCCGGAUGGAAGAAGAA
rnacentral:ncRNA from 1 species